GACGAACGCUGGCGGCGUGCUUAACACAUGCAAGUCGAACGCUGAAGCUCAGCUUUUGUUGGGUGGAUGAGUGGCGAACGGGUGAGUAACACGUGAGUAACCUGCCUCCUUCUUUGGGAUAACGCCCGGAAACGGGUGCUAAUACUGGAUAUUCACUGGUCUUCGCAUGGGGGUUGGUGGAAAGGGUUUUUCUGGUGGGGGAUGGGCUCGCGGCCUAUCAGCUUGUUGGUGGGGUGAUGGCCUACCAAGGCUUUGACGGGUAGCCGGCCUGAGAGGGUGACCGGUCACAUUGGGACUGAGAUACGGCCCAGACUCCUACGGGAGGCAGCAGUGGGGAAUAUUGCACAAUGGGCGCAAGCCUGAUGCAGCGACGCCGCGUGAGGGAUGGAGGCCUUCGGGUUGUGAACCUCUUUCGCUCAUGGUCAAGCCGCAACAAUGGUUGUGGUGAGGGUAGUGGGUAAAGAAGCGCCGGCUAAUUACGUG
rnacentral:rRNA from 1 species